rnacentral:rRNA from 1 species
UUACGGAAGGCAGCAGUGGGGAAUCUUCCACAAUGGACGAAAGUCUGAUGGAGCAACGCCGCGUGAGUGAUGAAGGUUUUCGGAUCGUAAAACUCUGUUGUAAGGGAAGAACAGGUAUGAGAGGUAAUGCUCAUGCUGUGACGGUACCUUGCGAGAAAGCCACGGCUAACUACGUGCCAGCAGCCGCGGUAAUACGUAGGUGGCAAGCGUUGUCCGGAAUUAUUGGGCGUAAAGCGCGCGCAGGCGGCCUUUUAAGUCUGAUGUGAAAGCCCCCGGCUCAACCGGGGAGGGUCAUUGGAAACUGGAAGGCUUGAGUACAGAAGAGAAGAGUGGAAUUCCAUGUGUAGCGGUGAAAUGCGUAGAGAUGUGGAGGAACACCAGUGGCGAAGGCGACUCUUUGGUCUGUAACUGACGCUGAGGCGCGAAAGCGUGGGGAGCAAACAGGAUUAGAUACCCCGGUAGC